rnacentral:rRNA from 1 species
AUUGAACGCUGGCGGCAGGCCUAACACAUGCAAGUCGAGCGGCAGCGGGAAAGUAGCUUGCUACUUUUGCCGGCGAGCGGCGGACGGGUGAGUAAUGCCUGGGAAAUUGCCCAGUCGAGGGGGAUAACAGUUGGAAACGACUGCUAAUACCGCAUACGCCCUACGGGGGAAAGCAGGGGACCUUCGGGCCUUGCGCGAUUGGAUAUGCCCAGGUGGGAUUAGCUAGUUGGUGAGGUAAUGGCUCACCAAGGCGACGAUCCCUAGCUGGUCUGAGAGGAUGAUCAGCCCAACUGGAACUGAGACACGGUCCAGACUCCUACGGGAGGCAGCAGUGGGGAAUAUUGCACAAUGGGGGAAACCCUGAUGCAGCCAUGCCGCGUGUGUGAAGGAGGCCUUCGGGUUGUAAAGCACUUUCAGCGAGGAGGAAAGGUCAGUAGCUAAUAUCUGCUGGCUGUGACGUUACUCGCAGAAGGAGCACCGGCUAACUCCGUGCCAGCCGCCGCCGUAAAAC